GAUGAACGCUGGCGGCGUGCUUAACACAUGCAAGUCGAACGAAGCAUUACUUUUGGAAGCGAGUAGUUUACUACGAGCGGACAUGUGUAAUGACUGAGUGGCGGACGGGUGAGUAACGCGUGGGUAACCUGCCUCAUACAGGGGGAUAACAGUUAGAAAUGACUGCUAAUACCGCAUAAGACCGCAGUAUCGCAUGAUACAGUGGUAAAAACUCCGGUGGUAUGAGAUGGACCCGCGUCUGAUUAGCUAGUUGGUAAGGUAAUGGCUUACCAAGGCGACGAUCAGUAGCCGACCUGAGAGGGUGACCGGCCACAUUGGGACUGAGACACGGCCCAGACUCCUACGGGAGGCAGCAGUGGGGAAUAUUGCACAAUGGGGGAAACCCUGAUGCAGCGACGCCGCGUGAAGGAUGAAGUAUUUCGGUAUGUAAACUUCUAUCAGCAGGGAAGAAAAUGACGGUACCUGACUAAGAAGCCCCGGCUAAUUACGUGCCAGCCGCCGCCGUAAAAC
rnacentral:rRNA from 1 species